GAUGAACGCUGGCGGCGUGCCUAAUACAUGCAAGUCGAGCGAAUGGAUUAAGAGCUUGCUCUUAUGAAGUUAGCGGCGGACGGGUGAGUAACACGUGGGUAACCUGCCCAUAAGACUGGGAUAACUCCGGGAAACCGGGGCUAAUACCGGAUAACAUUUUGAACCGCAUGGUUCGAAAUUGAAAGGCGGCUUCGGCUGUCACUUAUGGAUGGACCCGCGUCGCAUUAGCUAGUUGGUGAGGUAACGGCUCACCAAGGCAACGAUGCGUAGCCGACCUGAGAAGGUGAUCGGCCACACUGGGACUGAGACACGGCCCGUACUCCUACGGGAGGCAGCAGUAGGUAAUCUUCCGCAAUGGACGAAAGUCUGACGGAGCAACGCCGCGUGAGUGAUGAAGGCCUUCGGGUCGUAAAACUCUGUUGUUAGGGAAGAACAAGUGCUAGUUGAAUAAGCUGGCACCUUGACGGUACCUAACCAGAAAGCCACGGCUAACUACGUGCCAGCCGCCGCCGUAA
rnacentral:rRNA from 1 species